UACGUAGGGUGCAAGCGUUAAUCGGAAUUACUGGGCGUAAAGCGUGCGCAGGCGGCUUUGCAAGACAGAUGUGGAAUCCCCGGGCUCAACCUGGGAACUGCAUUUGUGACUGCAAGGCUAGAGUACGGUAGAGGGGGAUGGAAUUCCGCGUGUAGCAGUGAAAUGCGUAGAUAUGCGGAGGAACACCGAUGGCGAAGGCAAUCCCCUGGACCUGUACUGACGCUCAUGCACGAAAGCGUGGGGAGCGAACAGG
rnacentral:rRNA from 1 species